UACGUAGGGUGCAAGCGUUAAUCGGAAUUACUGGGCGUAAAGCGUGCGCAGGCGGUUUUGUAAGUCUGUCGUGAAAUCCCCGGGCUCAACCUGGGAAUUGCGAUGCAGACUGCAAGGCUAGAAUCUGGCAGAGGGGGGUAGAAUUCCACGUGUAGCAGUGAAAUGCGUAGAGAUGUGGAGGAACACCGAUGGCGAAGGCAGCCCCCUGGGUCAAGAUUGACGCUCAUGCACGAAAGCGUGGGGAGCAAACAGG
rnacentral:rRNA from 1 species